CCAGACUCCUACGGGAGGCAGCAGUAGGGAAUUUUGCGCAAUGGGGGAAACCCUGACGCAGCAACACCGCGUGAAUGUUAAGCCCUUCGGGGUGUAAAGUUCUGUCAAUAGGGACGAAUUUUGACUGUACCUAUAAAGGAAGCACCGGCUAACUCCGUGCCAGCAGCCGCGGUAAUACGGGGGGUGCAAGCGUUGUCCGGAAUCAUUGGGCGUAAAGCGUUCGUAGGCGGUAUGUCAAGUCUGAUGUUAAAGCCCGGGGCUCAACUCCGGUUCGGCAUUGGAUACUGGCAAACUAGAAUGUGGUAGAGGUAAAGGGAAUUCCUGGUGUAGCGGUGAAAUGCGUAGAUAUCAGGAGGAACAUCGGUGGCGAAGGCAGCAUACCGGUGCACAACUGACGCUCAGGCACGAAAGCGUGGGUAUCGAACAGGAUUAGAUACCCUCGUA
rnacentral:rRNA from 1 species